UACGAAGGGGGCUAGCGUUGCUCGGAAUCACUGGGCGUAAAGGGUGCGUAGGCGGGUCUUUAAGUCAGGGGUGAAAUCCUGGAGCUCAACUCCAGAACUGCCUUUGAUACUGAAGAUCUUGAGUUCGGGAGAGGUGAGUGGAACUGCGAGUGUAGAGGUGAAAUUCGUAGAUAUUCGCAAGAACACCAGUGGCGAAGGCGGCUCACUGCCCGAUACUGACGCUGAGGCACGAAAGCGUGGGGAGCAAACAGG
rnacentral:rRNA from 1 species